GGUUUGAUCAUGGCUCAGAUUGAACGCUGGCGGGAUGCUUUACACAUGCAAGUCGAACGGCAGCAUUGACUCUGGUCUGUAAGUAUGAGGGCAAUGGUGAGUAAUAUCGAACGCUCAGUAGCGGGGGAUAACUACGCGAAAGCGUAGCUAAUACCGCAUACCGCCUUCGGGGGAAAGCGGGGGACCUUCGGGCCUCGCACCACAGAGUGUGGCUGAUAUCGGAUUAGCUAGUUGGUGGGGUAACGGCGCUCACUAAGGCGACGAUCCGUAGCUGGUUUGAGAGGACGACUCAGCCACACUGGGACUGAGACACGGCCUAGACUCCUACGGAGGCAGCAGUGGGGAAUUUUGGACAAUGGGGGAAACCCUGAUCCAGCCAUCCUGCGUGUGCGAUGAAGGCCUUCGGGUUGUAAAAGCAAUUUUUGCAGGAAAGAAACGGCAUUGGAUAAUACCCCGUGCAACUGACUGUACCUGCAGAAUAAGCACCGAGCACUACGUGCCAGCAGCCGCGGUAAUACGUAGGGUGCAAGUGUUAAUCGGAAUUACUGGCGUAAAGUGCAGGCGGUCUGGAAAGAAAGAUGUGAAAUCCUGAGCUUAACUUUGGAACUGCAUUUUUAGCUACCGAGCUAUGUGUCAGAGAGGUGGAAUUCCGCGUGUAGCAGUGAAUGCAGAUAUGCGGAGGAACACCGAUGACAAGGCACUGGGAUAACACUGACGCCUGGCUAUGCACGAAAGCGUGGGGACAAACAGGAUUAGAUACUCCUCGGUAGUCCACGCCCUAAAUGAUGUCAACUUACGUUGGGGCCUUCUGGCUCGGUAGCGCAGCUAACGCGUGAAGUUGACCGCCUGGGGAGUACGGUCGCAAGAUUAAAACUCAAAGGAAUUGACGGGGAUUCCGCACAAGCGGUGGAGGUGAUGUGGAUUAAUUGAUGCAACGCGAAAACCUUACCUACCCUUGACAUGUCUGGAAUCCCGAAGAGAUUUGGGAGUGCUCGCAAGAGAACCGGAACACAGGUGCUGCAUGGCUGUCGUCAGCUCGUGCCGAGAUGUUGGGUUAAGUCCCGCAACGAGCGGCAACCUUGUCAUUAGUUGCUACGAAAGGGCACUCUAAUGAGACUGCCGGUGACAAACUGAGGAAGGUGGGGAUGACGUCAAGUCCAUGGCCCUUUUAUGGGUAGGGCUUACACGUCAUACAAUGGUCGGGACAGAGGGUCGCCAACCCGCGAGAGAGCCAACUCAGAAACCGGAUCAGGUCCGGAUCGCAGUCUGCAACUCGACCGCGUGAAGCCUGUAACCGCUUAGUAACUGCACGAUCAGCAUGUCGCGGUGAAUACGUUCCGGUCUUGUACACACCGCCCGUCACACCAUGGGAGUGGCUCUACCAGAAGUAGUUAGCCUAACCGUAAGGAGGGCGAUUACCAUGUAGGAUUCAUGACUUGGGUGAAGUCGUAAUAAGGU
rnacentral:rRNA from 1 species